UUUAGAGUUAUCCCCCUUGUAGAGAGCGCCUCCUGGGUUGUGUUGGAUCGUCUCGACCGUCAAAAUGUCAACGUAUAAUCUGAACCCAGUAAUUUAUACAGAUCUGACAAGGCGUAUGCAGGGAUGGGUAACGUGGCAAUCGGGACCAUGUGCUGACUUUGAAAUGGAUUUAUACAGAUGUGGAUCUAGAGUAGGAUAUGGUAAAGUGUAUGAUGUAUGUAAUAAAGAGCGUGAAGAUAUGUUUGAAUGUUUAAAUCACAGUGUACAGUAUCAACGAUAUAAAAUUAUGCAGGAAGAACGAAAAAAACAAGGCAGACCAUACCUUGAGCCACCCCCGAUGCACGUACCUGGAUUUAAUAAACGUUAAAUUGAAAGUAGAGAUAUUAUAUAAACAGUGUGUAAAAUAGACUAAAGUUUAAAAUAAGAGGACUUACUAUUCAUUUUAUUAAAGUGUCAACAGACAUUGUAUAUCAUAUUGAAUACAUCAUAAUAAACUACGUAAAAUAGUUUAAAUUUGGGAAAAAGUGAAAAUAAAAUGUAUGAUCCUGUUAAGAAUAAAACGUAUAAUAUAAUUA